AGAAGUAGGUAGCUUAACCUCCGGGAGGGCGCUUACCACUUUGUGAUUCAUGACUGGGGUGAAGUCGUAACAAGGUAACCGUAGGGGAACCUGCGGUUGGAUCACCUCCUUACCUGAAGAUACC
rnacentral:rRNA from 1 species